rnacentral:rRNA from 1 species
AUUGAACGCUGGCGGCAUGCCUUACACAUGCAAGUCGAACGGCAGCACGGGAGCUUGCUCCUGGUGGCGAGUGGCGAACGGGUGAGUAAUACAUCGGAACGUACCCAGGAGUGGGGGAUAACGUAGCGAAAGUUACGCUAAUACCGCAUAUUCUGUGAGCAGGAAAGCGGGGGAUCGCAAGACCUCGCGCUCUUGGAGCGGCCGAUGUCGGAUUAGCUAGUUGGUGAGGUAAAAGCUCACCAAGGCGACGGUCCGUAGCCGGUCUGAGAGGAUGAUCUGCCACACUUGGACUGAGACACGGCCCGUGCUCCUGCGGGAGGCAGCAGUGGGGAAUUUUGGACAAUGGGGGCAACCCUGAUCCAGCCAUGCCGCGUGAGUGAAGAAGGCCUUCGGGUUGUAAAGCUCUUUCGGCGGGGAAGAAAUGGCAACGGCUAAUAUCCGUUGUUGAUGACGGUACCCGCAUAAGAAGCACCGGCUAACUACGUGCCAGCCGCCGCCGUAA